CGAAGUUUGACUGCUUUGGCUUGCGGACGUGCGUUCACCGUUCGUACUGAGCCUCCUCCUCCCAAUCGAUAGCGCCAUCGUUGCCGUUGCCGAUUCGAACGUAAACCGUUCGCGCCACGAACGUAAAUCCGUUUCCAGCCGAUUCCUUGCGAUCCACGGCCGACCCGAGAGACCGGGAAGACGCGCGACCAGGACGUCGAAACGACCACCACAACAACAACAAAAACAACAAUGGAAGAAGACCAAAAUGGCGUCGUCGUCGGGCGGCCGCCGAACAGCGAUACCUGCGGAAUGAUCGUCAACCACGGCGGCGGGGACGACCGGACGACGGCGGCGGCUGCGGCUGCGGCACCGCCUACACCAGCGCUCCCGGCGGCAGCGGCCACAGCUUUCGGAGCCCCGGCGCGCCCAGCGCCGCGGUACGGCGCCCAUCACAACUGCAACAAUAACAAUUCGGUCAUCAAAGGGCAGCAGCACCAGUUAAAGGGUCCUGGUAAUCUAGAUCACAGAAAUAGACGUACGCGUCGCGGUAAACGUAAAAGCAGAAAGCAAACACCAUACACGAAGGAUGGGAUGUUGUUUCGAGACAAAGCUGUUGCUCCAAAUAACACUAAUCAGUUUUUAAUGGAUGAUCAUAAUGAUGGCCCAGACAUAGAUAAAAAAUUAUUUGCAAGAUAUAAUAAUGAAAAUGGACGUACAAGAAAUUCAAGUUAUACUAGUCUCGAAUCUGAGGGUGAACAGAUGUAUUCUUCAUCAGAUGAUGAUGGCACUUCAAUACAAAAGGAAUUUAUCGAAUCCUAUAGACUUGUUCAAGAAGAAGAAUUGGCGGGGUUGACUCAAAACGAACUUGUUCAACGAGUGAUUGAGCUCGAAGAAAAAGUUCAAUUGCUUGAGGCCAAUAAGAGGUUUAAAAAAAAUCCAGACACAUAUUUAAAUGGCAUAGACGAUGAAGAAAACUCUAUUGAUCUAGAAGAAUAUAAACUAAUGCAAAUACAGAAUAGAGAAUUGACAUCACAAAACAAAGUACUACAAGCUGAAGUCGAAACUCUUAAACAAAAACAAAACAAGAUGAAUAAUGAUUCAGAUAGCUCUGUAGAUAGUGGAAGUUCAUCAGACUCCAGUAGCUCUUCUAGUUCAUCUGAUGGACAAGAAAUAGAAAUGAAGUUUUUAUUACGGAGUAGUGGAAGAGAUGAUUGAUCAGUCAAGUACUAAAAUAAUGUUUAAUGGUUUAAUGUAAACUGUGAAGUUUGGCAGUGAUCACUUUAACAUGGAACUUAGUGAUAACUUAUGCCUAACAAAUAACCAUCAGGCUAUUAUUUUUGAUAUUGAAAUAAAACUCAUUCAACCAUAAAAGGUAGAAAUAUUAGACUGUUGCUGAUAUUAAACAUCUGCCGAAAAAUGACAGCAACUGGUGUAGCAUUGACGUCAGAAACAAAAUGUUUGCAAAAUAAACAUAGUAGGUCUAUGGUGUUGGCUAAUGUGUCAUAGAGCCAAAAAAAUGAAUUGCUGAUUCUGAAAUGAUUCUAAAGGUCAGAGCGUGGUGUCAAAUAUAUCCAGGAAUUUACUACUAUCUACAGAUAAAUACAUUUUAUUUAUGGAUGAUAAUUAUUUAAAAACAGAAAAUACACCUGGAUUGAAGAUAAAAUAUGGAGUUUUAAAUUCCAACAGCUAGUACUCAAGAUAAAAGGUUAAAAUGAAUGACAAAAUCUAAAUUAAAACAUUUGAAAAUUGUUAAAAUUUUAUAUUUAGUCAUAUUGUUUAUUAUAUUAUACUUAUAUUGUAUAUCAUAGUAUUAUGUCAACCAAAAUAAAAUAAAAUAAUUUUUUUUAUAAAA